rnacentral:tRNA from 1 species
AUUUAUAUAGUUUAAGAAAACAUUACAUUUUCACUGUAAAGAUAAAGACUAACUUUUAUAAAUA